UAAGCAUCUAUACUGUGAAACUGCGAAUGGCUCAUUAAAUCAGUUAUCGUUUAUUUGAUAGUACCUUACUACUUGGAUAACCGUGGUAAUUCUAGAGCUAAUACAUGCUAAAAACCCCGACUUUUGGAGGGGUGUAUUUAUUAGAUAAAAAACCAAUGCCCUUCGGGGCUCCUUGGUGAUUCAUAAUAACUUAACGAAUCGCAUGGCCUUGUGCCGGCGAUGGUUCAUUCAAAUUUCUGCCCUAUCAACUUUCGAUGGUUAGGUCUUGGCUAACCAUGGUUUCAACGGGUAACGGGGAAUUAGGGUUCUAUUCCGGAGAGUGAGCCUGAGAAACGGCUAACACAUCCAAGGAAGGCAGCAGGCGCGCAAAUUACCCAAUCCCGACACGGGGAGGUAGUGACAAUAAAUACUGAUCCAGGGCUCUUUUGGGUCUUGGAAUUGGAAUGAGUACAAUUUAAAUCCCUUAACGAGGAACAAUUGGAGGGCAAGUCUGGUGCCAGCAGCCGCGGUAAUUCCAGCUCCAAUAGCGUAUAUUAAAGUUGUUGCAGUUAAAAAGCUCGUAGUUGAACCUUGGGCCUGGCUGGCCGGUCCGCCUCACCGCGUGUACUGGUCCGGCCGGGCCUUUCCUUCUGGGGAAUCGCAUGCCCUUCACUGGGUGUGUCGAGGAUCCAGGACUUUUACUUUGAAAAAAUUAGAGUGUUCAAAGCAGGCCUAUGCUCGAAUACAUUAGCAUGGAAUAAUAGAAUAGGACGUGUGGUUCUAUUUUGUUGGUUUCUAGGACCGCCGUAAUGAUUAAUAGGGAUAGUCGGGGGCAUCAGUAUUCAAUUGUCAGAGGUGAAAUUCUUGGAUUAAUUGAAGACUAACUACUGCGAAAGCAUUUGCCAAGGAUGUUUUCAUUAAUCAGUGAACGAAAGUUAGGGGAUCGAAGACGAUCAGAUACCGUCGUAGUCUUAACCAUAAACUAUGCCGACUAGGGAUCGGGCGAUGUUACUUUUUUGACUCGCUCGGCACCUUACGAGAAAUCAAAGUCUUUGGGUC
rnacentral:rRNA from 1 species